UACGUAGGGUGCAAGCGUUGUCCGGAAUUAUUGGGCGUAAAGAGCUCGUAGGCGGUUCGUCGCGUCGGCUGUGAAAACCUGAGGCUCAACCUCAGGCCUGCAGUCGAUACGGGCGGACUUGAGUACUGCAGGGGAGACUGGAAUUCCUGGUGUAGCGGUGAAAUGCGCAGAUAAUCAGGAGGAACACCGGUGGCGAAGGGCGGGCUCUGGGCAGUAACUGACGCUGAGGAGCGAAAAGCGUGGGGAGCGAACAGG
rnacentral:rRNA from 1 species